GGAUGUAAGAGGUAUUGGCGUGUCUCAAUCUGAAGCCAUGGUUGGAUGCUCGAGUAGCCAUGUACUUGGAUUGAGCCGCGUCAAUAUCUCUCCUUGGCUG
rnacentral:pre_miRNA from 1 species